AGAGUUUGAUCCUGGCUCAGGAUGAACGCUAGCGGCAGGCCUAAUACAUGCAAGUCGAACGGGAACCAUUAGCAAUAGUGGUGAGAGUGGCGCACGGGUGCGUAACGCGUAUGCAACCUACCUUUAUCAGGGGGAUAGCCCGGAGAAAUCCGGAUUAAGACCGCAUAACAUAGUGAACUGGCAUCAGUUUAUUAUUAAAUAUUUAUAGGAUAAAGAUGGGCAUGCGUGUCAUUAGCUAGUUGGCGGGGUAAUGGCCCACCAAGGCGACGAUGACUAGGGGCUCUGAGAGGAGAAUCCCCCACACUGGUACUGAGACACGGACCAGACUCCUACGGGAGGCAGCAGUAAGGAAUAUUGGACAAUGGGCGGAAGCCUGAUCCAGCCAUGCCGCGUGCAGGAAGACGGCCCUAUGGGUUGUAAACUGCUUUUAUACGGGAAUAAACCCCUCGAUGCGUUGAGGGUUGAAGGUACUGUAAGAAUAAGGAUCGGCUAACUCCGUGCCAGCAGCCGCGGUAAUACGGAGGAUCCAAGCGUUAUCCGGAUUUAUUGGGUUUAAAGGGAGCGUAGGCGGCCCGUUAAGUCAGAGGUGAAAGACGGUAGCUCAACUAUCGCAGUGCCUUUGAUACUGACGGGCUUGAAUGCAGAUGAGGUGGGCGGAAUGUGGCAAGUAGCGGUGAAAUGCAUAGAUAUGCCACAGAACACCGAUUGCGAAGGCAGCUCACUAAGCUGCGAUUGACGCUGAGGCUCGAAAGCGUGGGGAUCAAACAGGAUUAGAUACCCUGGUAGUCCACGCCCUAAACGAUGAUAACUCGAUGUUGGCGAUAUACGGUCAGCGUCCAAGCGAAAGCGUUAAGUUAUCCACCUGGGGAGUACGCCCGCAAGGGUGAAACUCAAAGGAAUUGACGGGGGCCCGCACAAGCGGAGGAGCAUGUGGUUUAAUUCGAUGAUACGCGAGGAACCUUACCCGGGCUUGAAAGUUACUGAAGUUCCCAGAGAUGGGAGCGUCCCUCGGGACAGGAAACUAGGUGCUGCAUGGCUGUCGUCAGCUCGUGCCGUGAGGUGUUGGGUUAAGUCCCGCAACGAGCGCAACCCCU
rnacentral:rRNA from 1 species